rnacentral:rRNA from 1 species
UACGAAGGGGGCAAGCGUUGCUCGGAAUCACUGGGCGUAAAGGGCACGUAGGCGGAGUGCUAAGUCAGAGGGGAAAUCCUGGAGCUCAACUCCAGAACUGCCUUUGAUACUGGUGAUCUUGAGUCCGGGAGAGGUGAGUGGAACUGCGAGUGUAGAGGUGAAAUUCGUAGAUAUUCGCAAGAACACCAGUGGCGAAGGCGGCUCACUGGCCCGGUACUGACGCUGAGGUGCGAAAGCGUGGGGAGCAAACAGG